rnacentral:rRNA from 1 species
UACAGAGGCCCCAAGCAUUAUCCGGAAUCACUGGGCGUAAAGGGUGUGUAGGCGGCUUUGUUAGUCUUUCGUGAAAGAUCUUGGGCUUAACCCAGGAGGCGCGGGGGAAACGGCAAGGCUUAGAGGAUGCGAGAGGUAAAGGGAACUCAAGGUGUAGGGGUGAAAUCCGUUGAUAUCUUGGGGAACACCAAAUGCGAAGGCACUUUACUGGCGCACUCCUGACGCUGAAACACGAAAGCGUGGGUAGCGAACGGG